GUGUCAGCCGCCGCGGUAAUACGAACCGUCCAAACGUUAUUCGGAUUUAUUGGGCUUAAAGGGUAUGUAGGCGGCGCCAUCAGUCGGGUGUGAAAGCCCUCGGCUCAACCGAGGAACUGCGCCCGAUACUGUGGUGCUUGAGGGAGACAGAGGUAAGCGGAACUGAUGGUGGAGCGGUGAAAUGCGUUGAUAUCAUCAGGAACACCAGUGGCGAAAGCGGCUUACUGGGUCUCUUCUGACGCUGAGAUACGAAAGCUAGGGGAGCGAACGGGAUUAGAUACCCCGGUAGUCCUAGCUGUAAACGAUGAGCACUUGAUCGUGGGGCCCCCCAUAGCCUCUCGGUCGCAGCGAAAGUGGUAAGUGCUCCGCCUGGGGAGUAUGGUCGCAAGGCUGAA
rnacentral:rRNA from 1 species